rnacentral:rRNA from 1 species
GACGAACGCUGGCGGCGUGCUUAACACAUGCAAGUCGAGCGGUAAGGCCCUUUCGGGGGCACACGAGCGGCGAACGGGUGAGUAACACGUGGGUGACCUGCCCUUAGCUCUGGGAUAAGCCUGGGAAACUGGGGUCUAAUACCGGAUAUGACUCCAUGACGCAUGUUGUGGGGUGAAAGCCUUGUGCGGCUAGGGAUGGGCCCG